rnacentral:tRNA from 1 species
ACCUGACUAGCUCAGUCAGUAGAGCAUGUGAUUCUAGAUCUCAGGGUCUGAGUUCAAGUUUCAUGUUGGGUG